rnacentral:rRNA from 1 species
GAUGAACGCUGGCGGCGUGCCUAAUACAUGCAAGUCGAGCGAACGGACGAGAAGCUUGUUUCUCUGAUGUUAGCGGCGGACGGGUGAGUAACACGUGGAUAACCUACCUAUAAGACUGGGAUAACUUCGGGAAACCGGAGCUAAUACCGGAUGAUAUUUUGAACCGCAUGGUUCAAAAGUGGAAGACGGUCUUGCUGUCACUUAUAGAUGGAUCCGCGCUGCAUUAGCUAGUUGGUAAGGUAACGGCUUACCAAGGCAACGAUGCAUAGCCGACCUGGGAGAGUGAUCGGCCACACUGGAGCUGGAACACGGUCCAGACUCCUACGGGAGGCAGCAGUAGGGAAUCUUCCGCAAUGGGCGAAAACCUGACAGAACAACGCCGCGUGAGUGAUGAAGGUCUUCGGAUCGUAAAACUCUGUUAUUAGGUAAAAACAUAUGUGUAAGUAACUGUGCACAUCUUGACGGUACCUAAUCAGAAAGCCACGGCUAACUACGUG